GAGCCAUUAGCUCAGUUGGUAGAGCAUCUGACUUUUAAUCAGAGGGUCGAAGGUUCGAAUCCUUCAUGGGUCACCA
rnacentral:tRNA from 1 species